rnacentral:lncRNA from 1 species
CCCCCUAGAGACCAGCUCCUCCUCGGUGCUCACUCCACCAGGCGGGCAAGCCCUCAGCCCCGCCCUGUCGCGGCGGCGCCGGUGUCCCCACCCCACCCCCUGAGAACUACGGUCCCCAGAAGGCCGCGGGGCGGCGCGGAGAGGAGCGCGUCUCGGGAGCUGUGGUCCCGCGCGCCCGGGCGCCGGCUGGACGUGCAGGGCGCGGGGCAGCGGGGCUCGCCGUCUGCUCUCCCUGCAGGACCCCGCUGGCCGCCGGCCUUUGGAAGAAACCCUCGUGCGCUCCCGUGGGGUCUCCUUAAGGGGCGGGCUGGGCGCCCCACCUGGACGCCACCCCGGGCGGAGUCGGACCUGGCGCUUUCCAGCCCCUGAUGUCACUGAGACCCCGCUGGCCCGGGCUGGCUCCCAGCUGUGCGGCCCCUGGGGGUGCAGGACUGAAGACGGGUGUCUGCUGAUCGGAAUCUUCUGGAAGUUGGUUAAAUGCAGAUUCUUGGCCCCUCCUCCCUGAGAUCCUGAUACAGGGUCCAAGGAGGGACCCAGGAAUGUGGAUUUCAGGCCAUCGCGCCCCAGAGCAGAGGGCAGCCUCGGAGCAUGGAGGACACAGAUGGGGCGCAGCAGCACCAGCCCAAUGCCAGACGUUGGUGAUGUCCCUUCCCUUGUCCGCGAAGCAGUGACCUAUCCAGGGUGCCCGGGGCUGGGUGUGUGCGUCAUGUUCUGCAGCGGGGAGUUUGGGGCUGGGGACUGAACCUAGGUACUCUACCACGGAGCCACAUCCCCAGCCGCUUUUAUUUAUUUUGAUGCAGGGUUUUGCCAAGUUGCCCAGGCUGCCCUUGAACCUGGGGUCCUCCUGCCCUAGGCUCCGAGUAGCUGGGAUGGCAGGUGCGUGCCACUGUGCCAGGCUUGCUUUAGAUUUCUUUUUUCUUUUC